AUCUAUUUGUAAACAUUCUCUAAUAAGCUUUUAAAUCUGUUCUUAUCAGUUUAAUAUCUGAUACGUCCUCUGUUUGAGGACUAUAUAUUAAAUAGAUUUUUGGAACAGGGGGAUGGAAUAGGAGCUUGCUCCAUUCACUCCACGCAUCGACCUGGUAUUGCAGUACCUCCAGGAACGGUGCACCUCCC
ensembl:snRNA U2 U2 spliceosomal RNA